rnacentral:rRNA from 1 species
GUGGGGAAUAUUGGACAAUGGGCGAAAGCCUGAUCCAGCCAUGCCGCGUGUGUGAAGAAGGUCUUCGGAUUGUAAAGCACUUUAAGUUGGGAGGAAGGGCAGUAAGUUAAUACCUUGCUGUUUUGACGUUACCGACAGAAUAAGCACCGGCUAACUUCGUGCCAGCAGCCGCGGUAAUACGAAGGGUGCAAGCGUUAAUCGGAAUUACUGGGCGUAAAGCGCGCGUAGGUGGUUUUGUAAGUUGGAGGUGAAAGCCCCGGGCUCAACCUGGGAACUGCCUCCAAAACUGCAUGACUAGAGUACGGUAGAGGGUAGUGGAAUUUCCUGUGUAGCGGUGAAAUGCGUAGAUAUAGGAAGGAACACCAGUGGCGAAGGCGACUACCUGGACUGAUACUGACACUGAGGUGCGAAAGCGUGGGGAGCAAACAGGAUUAGAUACCCCUGUAGUCC